rnacentral:rRNA from 1 species
UACGUAGGGUCCGAGCGUUGUCCGGAAUUAUUGGGCGUAAAGAGCUCGUAGGCGGUCUGUCGCGUCGGCUGUGAAAACUCAGGGCUCAACCCUGGAACUGCAUUCGAUACUGCCUGGCUAGGGUACUGGAGAGGAGACUGGAAUUUACGGUGUAGCAGUGAAAUGCGUAGAUAUCGUAAGGAAGACCAGUGGCGAAGGCGAGUCUCUGGACAGUUACCGACGCUGAGGCACGAAGGUCAGGGGAGCAAACGGG